rnacentral:rRNA from 1 species
GAUCAUAGCUCAGGAUGAACGCUAGCUACAGGCUUAACACAUGCAAGUCGAGGGGCAGCAUGUUGGUUGCUUGCAACCAACGAUGGCGACCGGCGCACGGGUGAGUAACGCGUAUCCAACCUACCCUUGUCCAUCGGAUAACCCGUCGAAAGGCGGCCUAACACGAUAUGCGGUUCUCAGCAGGCAUCUAACGAGACGAAAUAUAAGGANAAGGAUGGGGAUGCGU